rnacentral:rRNA from 1 species
GACGAACGCUGGCGGCGUGCUUAACACAUGCAAGUCGAACGGAAAGGCCCUGCUUUUGUGGGGUGCUCGAGUGGCGAACGGGUGAGUAACACGUGAGUAACCUGCCCUUGACUUUGGGAUAACUUCAGGAAACUGGGGCUAAUACCGGAUAGGAGCUCCUGCUGCAUGGUGGGGGUUGGAAAGUUUCGGCGGUUGGGGAUGGACUCGCGGCUUAUCAGCUUGUUGGUGGGGUAGUGGCUUACCAAGGCUUUGACGGGUAGCCGGCCUGAGAGGGUGACCGGACAAGUGGGGACUGAGAUAAGGCCCAGACUGCAAGGGGGGGCAGGAGGGGGGAAUGUGGGAGAAUGGGCGGAAGUCUGAGGAAGCAACGCCGCGUGAGGGAGGGCGGGCUUAGGGGUGUAAACCGAUUUCGCCGGUGAAGAAGAGGGAGUGAAGGGAAUGGGGAAAGAAGCACCGGCUAACGAAGUG